AAGAUUGACUCCUUCUAGUUCUAAUCCUAUGUAGCUAUGCUAAUCUAGAUGUCUAAUUGAUGUGGUGGCCCUAAUCUUGAUCAGGGGCUUCUUCUCCCUUGAAGAACAAUGAAUUAGGGUUGAGAGGCUCCCUCCUCCAGGGGCCAGGGGGUCUGGUUUUAUAGUCCCUUCAAGUGAAUAUGGGCCGUUGGAUCAAACCGACAUAGAUUGUAUGGUUUAGAUUCAUCCUUUAGGUCGGUGGAAAUCUCCCGCAAAGCAGAGUCCUGAUUGGACUCAGAGGCAGGGCGGGCGCCCAGGGUCUGGCCCCGUUUCGCCUCCGCUUCGGUCUCGUGGCUUCUGGAGUCUUCUAGAUGUAAGAUAAUUGCGCGUCACGUUAAUAUCUUUACGUAAUCCCGACGUGUGGGUCUUUCUUCCGUAUUUCCUGAUAACUCCCUGCAGAAAUAGACAAACACCAAAACUCGUGGAAUUCUGUCAGAUAAAACCCUAAGUCUAGAUGUUGAUUUCAUUUGGAUCCUUUUCUUUGUUUAUUUGAUAAUUAAAUUUGAUACUUAAGGACCGUCAACAAACUCCCCCAAGCUUACCUCUUGCUCGUCCCUGAGCAAGGAUAGACUCAGCUAUGGAUCAUAAGUUGUUGCAAUAUAUUUAAAAAUUGACGGUACACAUGCUUUUUAAAUAAGAUCUCAUCUCUAAGUUAGAGUAAACUGUCAAGACUUAAAACUUACUUACUUUACCUUCACCAUGGGACUUGUAACUGUCACUUCUAUCUUGAGUAGUUAAACGAUAGAACAGUCUAGUCAAGUGCCAUGUCUCUUAUUCUUGAUCAGCUAUAGCUCUGGGGUUUUUGCAGAUUUUCAAAUAAAACUCAGAGAUUCCUUGUAUGACUCUCUCAGAUCUCUCUUUUGUGGUAUUUCUGGAUCCUUACCAAGGCAGUAAUGGUAUAUGCCUUCUCACAAUAUAUGUGGUAUUUGUGGUAUAAAGCAUAGUGACAUUGCCUUCUCUCUCACCCUACUCUAAUAAGGCUUUAAUAUCUGGAGCUCAUAGGUGGGAGAUAAAGUAUACAUACUUACAAGACAUGUAUUGUAUAGUCAAACCAUGGAUCCAAAGAAACAAAUCAAUAAGCCAAAUCAAGAUGUGCAUGUGUGGCGAAUGAAUGAUGUAUGGUGGUGAUGGUGAUAACAAUGGUGAAAACAAUGGUGGUGGAAGUCUAAUUCUACUUUGCUCUUUGAGGGGAUACAUACCUUCCUUGCUUUUUUUUUGAAUUUAUGAGGAGAAUGAGAUGCUCUUCUUUUUUUCUUUUCUCUCAGGUGGGUAUCUUGUACCCCUAAUUCUACUGUCGGACACUUGUCCAUUUUUACCUCUCGUCUCACUCUCUCUUUUCUUUCGAGGUUCCGAGCACUUGCACCUUUUUAUUUCCUCAUAUUUCUCUUUUUUUUUCUUUUUCUUUUUUUUAGAGCAUUCAUCUCUUGAGAUAAUAUAGCAAGUGGUAGUAACAAGAUAACUUGAGCAUUUAUUUCACAAGGGAAACAUAAAUAUUUUUGGCUAUUCUCUCCCGGAUUAGGAGUAGAAUAUUUUUGGGUGAUUCUGGAGAUGGAAUGGGUGGAUAUAUGUGGAUGGUACUUCCGGAGUAGAAGUAGCAUAUAUGAGUGAACGUACAAGUGAAUCUUGAUUUAACCACAUGACAAGUUCCUAAGGGUCUACACAGCUUGACCACACUCAAUGCUCAUAAGCAGUAAAUAGUAAAUGUGUGGCUCAAAGUCUAGCAAGCAUGUAUAUAUGGCUGUGGUAGGAAUUUAAACUCUCAUCAUACAUGAACUCAUCAUGCAACAUUUUAAAGAUUUUCAAAGAUAAAAUUCUCUAGAAAUCUAGCAUCUCUAGGAACAGAUAAACAGCAGCUCAACCUUCCCAUAUCGUAUCCGUUAACAACUUAGACUUCAGAUCAAAUUUUCAUCCCACAAGUUUAGGUCUAGAGCAAGCUUUAAAUUAUAACAGUUAUAUAUAUCCUUGAGAGUGAACUUAAAAUGUGCAAAUUAGGCAGAGCAACUAUUCAUCAUUUCCAUACUUAAGUUUUAUUUAGAUACAGAUUAGCAUCGCCACUUUAUUUAUUUAUUAAACACACUAAGCAAAAGAUAUAUAUAUAAGCUUAAAAUCUUUAUUUGGUUUUUUAUAGUUUAUGUAUAUUUAAUAUUCUAAUAUAAUAUAAGUAUAAAGAUAGAUAGAAAUACUUAUCGAGAUAAAUGGGGGUGCUCUCUCCCAAGCUGAAUUUUGACGUAAUUUCUCUUGAUGUAGCUAGCAGGUGGCAGAGGUGUAUUUGAAAGUCAGCAGCAUUCUGACAGCGAUUAGAAUGUCCUCCGUCUGCUAGUCUUCUUGAUUCUUAAAUUCUGCGGAGCUCAAAUAGACAACAAAGCUUGUGGAACUGAUUAAGUGUUAGCAUAAAUAUCUAGCCUUUAUCAUCUUGAGACUCCUUAAUAAUUAUUACUCCCUGUUUUUAUAUUUUUAUUUUAUAAAGCAGAAAAGAAAUUUUUAUUUUAUUUUUAUGCCACCACAGUGAAUGUACUUAUGGGUUUUAUGCCACUCGCAUACUCACAUGGGGCUUACUGUUUUUCGCAUUUUUAUUUUCUUUUAUUUUUAAGAUAGUACGAACAUGAUUAACUAAGUAAACUAGUUGAAAUAAUUGAAAAGGAAAGGAUAACUACCAAGUUUACCUCUCGGCAAGGCGUUCGGUGUUUUUUAAGUCCUCCGAACGGGACUCUCCAUUUUUUCAGUAGUCCUGAGGUUCGUUGGUGGUGUAGUCGGUACUUCCAGCGGCGCCUCCUCUUCAUGUAUAGUUAUCUUCAUUUUCCACACCUGACUUGGUGCUUCGGUCUACUCUGGAUAAUUCUGUUUAAACUCUACGUUUUCUGACCUUACAACUUUUCCUUCAUAGUCUGCCCAUCCGUCCUUGAUGAUCUGCCUCCUCUGGUUGCGGUUACGUCUUUUCCUUACCUGCUUAGAUUCUUCAACGAUAUAGUUAGGGUCAGUAAAAUAACGGCGUACCUUCUCUAAGGGGAAGUGCAUAUGGACUUCUCCGGUUCCAAUGUAGAUAAUUGCUUUAACGGUGCUGAGGAACGGUCUUCCAAGGAUGAUGGGUGGAUCGUACUUGUCUUCUCCCAUGUCAAUAACUUGAAAGUCUGUGUAGACAAAGUGAUCGUCUAUUUUGACUGGGACAUCAGUUACUAUUCCUUUAACUUCUCAAAAUGUCUGAUCUGCCAUCUGGAGUUGAAUGUAUGUUGGUCUUAGUGGCAUGGUUCCAAACAAGAGCCGAUAGGUGACUGCGGCCAUUAUGUUGACGCCCGAUCCAGUGUCGCAAAUCAUCUUGAAGAAACUAUAUCCAUUUAUGGAGCAGUAGAUGCUUGGCAUUCCUAGGUCGUCCUUCUUGGUCAAAAGCGGUGACUUAAGUUGGUGAUCUUGGCCUCCAUGAACUACAGUGACCAUCUUAGCUGACUCGGUCCACACUUGCUUGUUCCUGUUCCUCCUGUUGGUCCUCUUCCUUGACUCACGUCUGGAUUGAUCUGGAAUUUUUGUAAUCUUUUUCUUGAAGAAAAAUGUCUCCUUCUUCCCUUUGACGUAGAAACUGAUCUUGGCAGCACUAGCGUAGAUGAUAGCUCCCGUGGUGUUCAAGAAUGGCCUCCCUAAGAUGAUGGGUGCUCUCUCAUCAUUUCCGGUCUUUACCACUACGAAGUCUGCUAGGGCAUACAAGGUACCAACUCGGACGCAAAGGUUCUUCAAUAUUCCCUUUGGAAAAGUUAUCGUCUGAUCUGCAAAUUGCAAACACAUGGUUGUUUCUAAUAAAAGAUAUGUAAAGAAUUUUUCAUAGAGUACCCUGGUUAUAAUGUUGACACUGGAGCCAAAGUCGCAGAGUGCUUCUGGAACGUCCACCAUGCCGAUAGAGAUCGGGAUGACGGGGCGUCCUGGAUCGCCUCUCUUGACCGGCAGAAGGUCAGUAGAGAAUUUAGUGACGGGGUUACUUCCAAUUACCUGCAUCAAACGUGUCUACAAGAUUUGCAGAUUCUAAUCCUUCCGGUUGUGAUUGUAUACCGGGGUUAGUAGUAGGAACAGCAACAGCUAUUUGAUUUAACUGAGAUUCAAUCAUUUUAUUAAAGCUAAUUUGAUUCUUGAUGGCAGUAGAGAAAUUAUCCAUUCUAUUAUUUAUAUUUUCUAGCAUUUUAUCAUUAGAUGCCAAUUUCUUAGAUAGAUUAUCCAUUAGCUUUCCUUGAUUAGACACUAACUCUCUCAAAGGUGGAAAAUUAUUAGCAUUAUUGUUGUAAGAAUUGUUACCUUGAUAAUUACCUGAGUAGUUAGGCCUCUGUUGAUUCCAACCUUGAUUUUGUUGAGGACGGUUGUAGUAGUUGUUGUUGUUGAUGAUGUAGUUCACAUCCUCAAGCAUCUCAGGGCAGUGGUUGCCUGAGUGUCCAGUGUCUCCACACUCCUCACAAGUCAUGUGAGAGUCGUAGAUGUGCAUAACUUCUUUCUUGUCUCCAACUCUAUCAUCGAGCUUCUUCAUGAGCAGGUCUAGCUUUUGCAGACAGCAUGUCUACAUCUUUCAGCUGAUGCAUACCUCCACCUCUCUUGCGUGUCUGGGUCCUCUCUUCAUUCCAGCUUUGGUUGGACGCCAUCUUCUCCACAAGAGCUGUGGCUUGUGGUAUUGUAAGUGAUAAGAAUGCUCCUCCAGCUGCAGCAUCCAUGGUCUCUCGGGCACUGUUGCCGAGCCCAUGAUAAAACGUCUGCAUUAAUAGCCAACUCUCCAUUCCAUGAUGGGGACAUUCUAGGAUGUAGUCUUGAAAGCGCUCCCAUGCUUCUGGAACAAAUUCAUCAUUUUGUUGCUGAAAACUUGUAAUCUUCCCACGGAGAGCAUUGGUCUUGCCCAUGGGAAAGAACUUAGCCAAAAAGUUUGUUGAGCAGAGUGCCCACGUAGUAUUCUUCUCCUUUGUAGCGUAGAACCACUGCUUCGCUCUUCCUCACAGUGAGAAUGGGAAGAGGCGAAGUAGUAUAGCAUCUUUGGGAACUCCUGAUAUGGUGAAUGUGUUGCAAAUCUCCAAGAAGUGUUGUAAAUGAGCACUAGCAUCUUCGUGUGCCUUCCCACAGAACUGGUUGGAUUGCACCAUGUUGAUAAGUCCAGGCUUGAGCUCAAAGUUGCCAUCGAUCUCUGCAGCAGGUCCAGUGCGGAUGUUGUCCGUAGUGGGAGCUGAGAACUCGCGGAUUGAUUUGUUCGCCAUGGCUUCAAACUCUGAAGACAAGUUCCGGUGAUCUUCUUGAUUUGGAUGAAGCUUCUUGCUGAAGUGUUGAUGAUUUCUUUAGCUUGGCUCUCGUCUUCUUGAAUAAUGCUUCGGGAUUAUUAACAAAAUUUCCUGGAAGAUGUCUUCUAUUCAUACAUUCCCCUGCAUAAGAUGAAAUAGGAAAAUAUCGGGGUAAAACUGUAUGAGAGAAUAGAUAAGCUCAAUCAUAUUAGUGAUGCAAAUGAUAACUCAAAAUCUUUUAUUCCAUUCCUGAUUAGUAAUCAACCUUCCCCGGCAACGGCGCCAAAAAUGCUUGUUGGGUAUUCUUAACAUCAUUACCAAAAGUAGCUAAGUUCUCUAAAUCUAGUAACGGUGCCAAAAAUGCCAAACCUAUCCCUCACACCACUUAAGCCAAGUUGUCAUCCCCAACAUGAUAUAAGAGACGCGGUAUUGAAAUAUGCAAUUGCUCUUCUAAAUAAAUAAUGAAUGGGAUCUGCAAGCGCACAGAUUAAUACCGAUGCAGCAUUUUAACCGGGAAGUAUUCCAGGUAUCGUUAUUUAUAUUUUUACCACUGGGAAGGGAUUAGCAAUCAUCAAUAUUGAUUACAGAAUAGAAUAUGAGAUUGAGCAUCUAUCAUUGCAUGUAUAAUUGAGAACAUUAUAUCUAACUCAUCAUACAGGGAUAAGUGUCACAUAAAAGAUAUAUGAAAUAGUGAAUAGUGACAAGGAUAAUUAAUCUGAUCUAGCCACAUAAUAAAUAUGAUAAGCACCUCAAUUAGAUACUCUAGAAAGUCAUUAGCAUGGUAUUAGAACGAACUACAUGAAUAUUCCCUAAGUUAUUCUCAACUAUAUAGUCUAGCAUUAUCAUAAUUAGUGCAAGCAUACUUAGCAAUCAUCGCGAGACAAGACUACGCCCAUGCAUAGUGAUAUUAGCAAGGAAUAUGAGAAACAUAGCAAUCACUCCCCUUUAAUAAUGUUGCUCUGCCAACCCAAUACACGAGAGGGGGACUAUAUAAGAAUCAAUGAAGCUGUCACUAUCACGAACUACCCCACGAUCUGGCAUAUUGGGUACAAUCACAGAUAAAUACGGUAUAAGCACCACGCCUACACAAUAUCUAUCAUUUACCCAUGGAUCCGAUGGAUAAACGCUAUACGAUCCUAAGCAUGUAUAUAGAUCGAAUCUAACUAAGCCAAGUACAUAACUAUGAUAAACUAAGAACAAUAUAAUCUUGAAUAUAAGCAAGUAGAGCAAAGUCAUAAGCAAUAUAUUGAAGUAGAACAAAGUCAUAUUCAUAAUAUUGAAGAACAAAGAUAAUUAGAAGGCAAUUAGAAGCACAAUUAGAGAAUUACCAAGAAUCCUCUUGACAGAUCCGGAAACCAAUCGAAGAUUGACUCCUUCUAGUUCUAAUCCUAUGUAGCUAUGCUAAUCUAGAUGUCUAAUUGAUGUGGUGGCUCUAAUCUUGAUCAGGGGCUUCUUCUCCCUUGAAGAACAAUGAAUUAGGGUUGAGAGGCUCCCUCCUCCAGGGGCCAGGGGGUCUGGUUUUAUAGUCCCUUCAAGUGAAUAUGGGCCGUUGGAUCAAACCGACAUAGAUUGUAUGGUUUAGAUUCAUCCUUUAGGUCGGUGGAAAUCUCCCGCAAAGCAGAGUCCUGAUUGGACUCAGAGGCAGGGCGGGCGCCCUGACCAACUGGGCGGGCGCCCAGGGUCUGGCCCCGUUUCGCCUCCGCUUCGGUCUCGUGGCUUCUGCAGUCUUCUAGAUGUAAGAUAAUUGCGCGUCACGUUAAUAUCUUUACGUAAUCCCGACGUGUGGGUCUUUCUUCCGUAUUUCCUGAUAACUCCCUGCAGAAAUAGACAAACACAAAAACUCGUGGAAUUCUGUCAGAUAAAACCCUAAGUCUAGAUGUUGAUUUCAUUUGGAUCCUUUUCUUUGUUUAUUUGAUAAUUAAAUUUGAUACUUAAGGACCGUCAACAAACUCCCCCAAGCUUACCUCUUGCUCGUCCCUGAGCAAGGAUAGACUCAGCUAUGGAUCAUAAGUUGUUGCAAUAUAUUUAAAAAUUGACGGUACACAUGCUUUUUAAAUAAGAUCUCAUCUCUAAGUUAGAGUAAACUGUCAAGACUUAAAACUUACUUACUUUACCUUCACCAUGGGACUUGUAACUGUCACUUCUAUCUUGAGUAGUUAAAAGAUAGAACAGUCUAGUCAAGUGCCAUGUCUCUUAUUCUUGAUCAGCUAUAGCUCUGGGGUUUUUGCAGAUUUUCAAAUAAAACUCAGAGAUUCCUUGUAUGAUUCUCUCAGAUCUCUCUUUUGUGGUAUUUCUGGAUCCUUACCAAGGCAGUAAUGGUAUAUGCCUUCUCUCAAUAUAUGUGGUAUUUGUGGUAUAAAGCAUAGUGACAUUGCCUUCUCUCUCACCCUACUCUAAUAAGGCUUUAAUAUCUGGAGCUCAUAGGUGGGAGAUAAAGUAUACAUACUUACAAGACAAGUAUUGUAUAGUCAAACCAUGGAUCCAAAGAAACAAAUCAAUAAGCCAAAUCAAGAUGUGCAUGUGUGGCGAAUGAAUGAUGUAUGGUGGUGAUGGUGAUAACAAUGGUGAAAACAAUGGUGGUGGAAGUCUAAUUCUACUUUGCUCUUUGAGGGGAUACAUACCUUCCUUGCUUUUUUUUUGAAUUUAUGAGGAGAAUGAGAUGCUCUUCUUUUUUUCUUUUCUCUCAGGUGGGUAUCUUGUACCCCUAAUUCUACUGUCGGACACUUGUCCAUUUUUACGUCUCGUCUCACUCUCUCUUUUCUUUCGAGGUUCCGAGCACUUGCUCCUUUUUAUUUCCUCGUAUUUCUCUUUUUUUUUCUUUUUCUUUUUUUUAGAGCAUUCAUCUCUUGAGAUAAUAUAGCAAGUGGUAGUAACAAGAUAACUUGAGCAUUUAUUUCACAAGGGAAAACAGAAAUAUUUUUGGCUAUUCUCUCCCGGAUUAGGAGUAGAAUAUUUUUGGGUGAUUCCGGAGUAGAAGUAGCAUAUAUGAGUGAACGUGCAAGUGAAUCUUGAUUUAACCACAUGACAAGUUCGUAAGGGUCUACACAGCUUGACCACACUCAAUGCUCAUAAGCAGUAAAUAGUAAAUGUGUGGCUCAAAGUCUAGCAAGCAUGUAUAUAUGGCUGUGGUAGGAAUUUAAACUCUCAUCAUACAGGAACUCAUCAUGCAACAUUUUAAAGAUUUUCAAAGAUAAAAUUCUCUAGAAAUCUAGCAUCUCUAGGAACAGAUAAACAGCAGCUCAACCUUCCCAUAUCGUAUCCGUUAACAACUUAGACUUCAGAUCAAAUUUUCAUCCCACAAGUUUAGGUCUAGAGCAAGCUUUAAAUUAUAACAGUUAUAUCUAACCUUGAGAGUGAACUUAAAAUGUGCAAAUUAGGCAGAGCAACUAUUCAUCAUUUCCAUGCUUAAGUUUUAUUUAGAUACAGAUUAGCAUCGCCACUUUAUUUAUUUAUUAAACACACUAAGCAAAAGAUAUAUAUAUAAGCUUAAAAUCUUUAUUUGGUUUUUUAUAGUUUAUGUAUAUUUAAUAUUCUAAUAUAAUAUAAGUAUAAAGAUAGAUAGAAAUACUUAUCGAGAUAAAUGGGGGUGCUCUCUCCCAAGCUGAAUUUUGACGAAGUCAGCAGCAUUCUGACAGCGAUUAGAAUGUCCUCCGUCUGCUAGUCUUCUUGAUUCUUAAAUUCUGCGGAGCUCAAAUAGACAACAAAGCUUGUGGAACUGAUUAAGUGUUAGCAUAAAUAUCUAGCCUUUAUCAUCUUGAGACUCCUUAAUAAUUAUUACUCCCUGUUUUUAUAUUUUUAUUUUAUAAAGCAGAAAAGAAAUUUUUAUUUUAUUUUUAUGCCACCACAGUGAAUGUACUUAUGGGUUUUAUGCCACUCGCAUACUCACAUGUACUUAUGGGUUUUAUGACUUUCCUUACCGUUCCUAUGUGUUUCCCUCUUGAUUCCCUUUUUUGACUCCCUGGCAACGGCGCCAGAAAUGCUUGUUGACACUAGCUAACACCACUUAGAUACUAUGUUGUCAUCCCCAGCAUGGUGCCAGAGUGUACAAAGGUAUUUAUGAAUAUGGAGGCUCUCUAGAAAAUAAUCUAUUCUAUCCACAUGCGCACAGAUAAAAUACCUCAUUGUAGCAUUUCACCAGGAAAGUAUUCUAGGUAUCGUUAUUUAUAAUUUUGCUUAAGACAACAAGGGUGAAAUUAAGAUAAGGAUAAAAUCUAUCAAGGCAUAGACUAGAGAUAAACUUGCAACAACAUGAUUACUAAUGAGGAACUCGUCACACAGUCACUUAUUUUGGCAGGGGGUAAGCCAUAAUAAUAAUGAUAAUGAAAUAUAAGCCCAUGGGUAAUUAACACAGCGAUUAGAAAAUAGACUACUCCUGGUGACGUCGGAUUAGCUAGAGAAUGGAUUCUAAGUUAUCUACUAUCUACUAAGUCACAAUCUACUCUAGUUAUCUACAAGAUCAUAUAUAGCAUAAAACACUCUUCAUUUAUGUAUAAGGAACAUUGCUAAAGUAAAUCAGAGCAUUGCAAGACUUACUCCGCAAUACAAAUUCUGCCAGUCCUAUCAACGGAGGGUGGACUAUAUAAGAAUCAACGAAGCUGUCACUAUCACAAACUACCACACAACCCGACUAAUAGGAUACAUUUGCAGGUAAAUAACAUCUAAGCACCACGCCCACAUGUGAUCUACCACUUAACUCCCACGUGUCA
rnacentral:lncRNA from 1 species